rnacentral:rRNA from 1 species
GAUGAACGCUGGCGGCGUGCCUAAUACAUGCAAGUCGAGCGAACAGACGAGGAGCUUGCUCCUCUGACGUUAGCGGCGGACGGGUGAGUAACACGUGGAUAACCUACCUAUAAGACUGGGAUAACUUCGUGAAACCGGAGCUACUACCGGAUAAUAUAUUGAACCGCAUGAUUCAAUAGUGAAAGACGGUUUUGCUGUCACUUAUAGAUGGAUCCGCGCCGCAUUAGCUAGUUGGUAAGGUAACGGCUUACCAAGGCGACGAUGCGUAGCCGACCUGAGAGGGUGAUCAGCCACACUGGAACUGAGACACGGUCCAGACUCCUACGGGAGGCAGCAGUAGGGAAUCUUCCGCAAUGGGCGAAAGCCUGACGGAGCAACGCCGCGUGAGUGAUGAAGGUCUUCGGAUCGUAAAACUCUGUUAUUAGGGAAGAACAAAUGUGUAAGUAACUAUGCACGUCUUGACGGUACCUAAUCAGAAAGCCACGGCUAACUACGUG